AUGCUUCAAACUGCUGUCUCUACAAGAGAAGCGACACAAACAACUGAACCUACAACUGUGGUUACGACAAAUUCACCUACUACUGCAACAACGCUUCGAACUACUGUCUCUUCAACAGAAACGACACAAACAACUGAACCUACAACUGAGAUUACGACAAACUCUCCUACUACUGCAACUACACUUCCAACUUCUGUCUCUUCAACAGAAACGACACAGACAACUGAACCUACAUCUGAGAUCACGACAAACUCUCCUACUACUGCAACGACACUUCCAACUACAGUCUCUACAACAGAAACGACACAAACAACUGAACCUACAACUGUGCUUACGACAAACUCACCUACGUCUGCAACAACUCUUCUAACUACAGUCUCUACAACAGAAAUCCAAACAACUGAACCUACAACUGUGGUUACUCCAAACUCACCUACAACUGCAACAACGCUUCCAACUACCAUCUCUUCAACGGAAACGACACAAACACCUGAACAUACCACUGUGGUUACGACAAACUCACUUACUACUGCAACAAUGCUACCAACUACUGUUUCUUCAAAAGAAACGACACAAACAACUGAACCUUCAACUGAGAUUACGACAAACUCUCCUACUACUGCAACUACACUUCCAACUACUGUUUCUUCAAAAGAAAUGACACAAACAACUGAGAUUACGUCAAACUCUCCUACUACUGCAACUACGCUUCCAACUACUGUUUCCUCAACAGAAACGACACAAACAACUGAACCUACCACUGUGGUUACGACAAACUCACCUACUACUGCAAAAACGCUUCCAACUACUGUCUCUACAACAGAAACGACACAAACAACUGAACCUACAACUGUGGUUACGACAAACUCACCUACUACUGCAACAACGCUUCCAGCUACUGUCUCUACAACAGAAACAACACAAACAACUGAACCUACAACUGUGGUUACGACAAACUCACCUACUACUGCAACAACGCUUUCAGCUACUGUCUCUACAACAGAUACGACACUAACAACUGAACCUACAACUGUGGUUACGACAAACUCACCUACUACUGCAACAACACUUCCAACUACUGUCUCUACAACAGAUACGACACAAACAACUGAACCUACAACUGUGGUUACGACAAACUCACCUACUACUGCAACAACGCUUCCAGCUACUGUCUCUUCAAAAGAAACGACACAAACAAUUGAGAUCAUGACAAACUCUCCUACUACUGCAACUACACUUCCUACUACUGUUUCUACAACAGAAACGACACAGACAACUGAACCUACAACUGAGAUUACGACAAACUCACCUACUACUGCAACUACACUUCCUACUACUGUUUCAACAACAGAAACGACACAGACAACUGAACCUACAACUGAGAUUACGACAAACUCACCUACUACUGCAACUACACUUCCUACUACUGUUUCUACAACAGAAGCGACACAAACAACUGAACCUUCAGCUGAGAUUACGACAAACUCACCUACUACUGCAACUACACUUUCUACUACUGUUUCUACAACAGAAACGACACAGACAACUGAACCUUCAACUGAGAUUACGACAAACUCACCUACUACUGCAACUACACUUCCAACUACUGUCUCUUCAACAGAAACCACACAGACAGCUGAACCUACAACUGAGAUUACGACAAACUCACCUACUACUGCAACUACACUUUCAACUACUGUCUCUACAACAGAAACGACACAAACAUCUGAACCUACAACUGAGAUUACGACAAUCUCACCUACUACUGCAACAAUGCUUCCAACUACUGUCUCUUCAACAGAAACGACACAGACAACUGAACCUACAACUGAGAUUACGACAAACUCACCUACUACUGCAACAACACUUCCAACUACUGUCUCUUCAACAGAAACGACACAGACAACUGAACCUACAACUAAGAUUACAACAAACUCUCCUACUACUGCAACAAUACUUCCAACUACUGUCUCUUCUACAGAAACGACACAAACAACUGAACCUACAACUGAGAUUAUGACAAACUCUCCUACUACUGCAACUACACUUCCAACUACUGUCUCUUCAACAGAAACGACACAAACAACUGAACCUACAACUGAGAUUACGACAAACUCACCUACUACUGCAACAACACUUCCAACUACUGUCUCUUCAACAGAAAUGACACAAACAACUGAACCUACAACUGAGAUUACGACAGACUCUCCUACUACUGCAACAACACUUCCAACUACUGUCUCUUCAACAGAAAUGACACAAACAACUGAACCUACAACUGAGAUUACGACAAACUCACCUACUACUGCAACAACACUUCCAACUACUGUCUCUUCAACAGAAACGACACAAACAACUGAACCUACAACUGAGAUAACGUCAAACUCUCCUACUACUGCAACUACACUUCCAACUACUGUUUCUUCAACAGAAACGACACAGACAACUGAACCUACCACUGUGGUUACGACAAACUCUCCUACUACUGCAACUAUACUUCCAACUACUGUCUCUUCAACAGAAACGACACAAACAACUGAACCUACAACUAAGAUUACAACAAACUCACCUACUACUGCAACAACACUUCCAACUACUGUCUCUUCAACAGAAACGACACAAACAACUGAACCUACAACUGAGAUUACGACAAACUCUCCUACUACUGCAACUAUACUUCCAACUACUGUCUCUUCAACAGAAACGACACAGACAACUGAACCUACAACUAAGAUUACGACAAACUCUCCCACUACUGCAACUACACUUCCAACUACUGUUUCUUCAACAGAAACAACACAGACAACUGAACCUACCACUGAGAUUACGACAAACUCUCCUACUACUGCAACUAUACUUCCAACUACUGUCUCUUCAACAGAAACGACACAAACAACUGAACCUACAACUAAGAUUACAACAAACUCUCCUACUACUGCAACAACACUUUCAACUACUGUCUCUUCUACAGAAACGACACAAACAACUGAACCUACAACUGAGAUUACGACAAACUCUCCUACUACUGCAACUACACUUCCAACUACUGUUUCUUCAACAGAAACAACACAGACAACUGAACCUACCACUGUGGUUACGACAAACUCACCUACUACUGCAACAACACUUCCAACUACUGUCUCUACAACAGAAACGACACAAACAACUGAACCUACAACUGAGAUUACGACAAACUCUCCUACUACUGCAACUAUACUUCCAACUACUGUCUCCUCAACAGAAACGACACAGACAACUGAACCUACAACUAAGAUUACAACAAACUCUCCUACUACUGCAACAACACUUCCAACUACUGUCUCUUCUACAGAAACGACACAAACAACUGAACCUACAACUGAGAUUACGACAAACUCUCCUACUACUGCAACUACACUUCCAACUACUGUCACUUCAACAGAAACGACACAGACAACUGAACCUACAACUAAGAUUACAACAAACUCUCCUACUACUGCAACAACACUUCCAACUACUGUCUCUUCUACAGAAACGACACAAACAUCUGAACCUACAAUUGAGCUUACGACAAACUCUCCUACUACUGCAACAACACUUUCAAAUACUGUUUCUUCAACAGAAACAUCACAAACAACUGAACCUACAACUGAGAUUACGACAAACUCUCCUACUACUGUAACUACACUUCCAACUACUGUCUCUUCAACAGAAACGACACAGACAACUGAACCUACAACUAAGAUUACAACAAACUCUCCCACUACUGCAACUACACUUCCAACUACUGUUUCUUCAACAGAAACAACACAGACAACUGAACCUACCACUGAGAUUAAGACAAACUCUCCUACUACUGCAACAACACUUCCAACUACUGUCUCUUCUACAGAAACGACACGAACAACUGAACCUACAACUGAGAUUAUGACAAACUCUCCUACUACUGCAACUACACUUCCAACUACUGUCUCUUCAACAGAAACGACACAGACAACUGAACCUACCACUAAGAUUACAACAAACUCUCCUACUACUGCAACAACACUUCCAACUACUGUCUCUUCUACAGAAACGACACAAACAACUGAACCUACAACUGAGCUUACGACAAACUCUCCUACUACUGCAACUACACUUCCAACUACUGUUUCUUCAACAGAAACAACACAGACAACUGAACCUACCACUGUGGUUACGACAAACUCACCUACUACUGCAACAACACUUCCAACUACUGUUUCAACAACAGAAACGACACAGACAACUGAACCUACAACUGAGAUUACGACAAACUCACCUACUACUGCAACAACACUUCCAACUACUGUCUCUUCAACAGAAAUGACACAAACAACUGAACCUACAACUGAGAUUACGACAAACUCUCCUACUACUGCAACUAUACUUCCAACUACUGUCUCUUCAACAGAAACGACACAGACAACUGAACCUACAACUAAGAUUACAACAAACUCUCCCACUACUGCAACAACACUUCCAACUACUGUCUCUUCUACAGAAACGACACAAACAACUGAACCUACAACUGAGUUUACGACAAACUCUCCUGCUACUGCAACUACACUUCCAACUACUGUUUCUUCAACAGAAACAACACAGACAACUGAACCUACCACUGUGGUUACGACAAACUCACCUACUACUGCAACUACGCUUCCAACUACUGUCUCUUCAACAGAAACGACACAAACAACUGAACCUACAACUAAGAUUACAACAAACUCUCCUACUACUGCAACAACACUUCCAACUACUGUCUCUUCAACAGAAACGACACAAACAACUGAACCUACAACUAAGAUUACAACAAACUCACCUACUACUGCAACUACACUUCCAACUACUGUCUCUUCAACAGAAACGACACAAACAACUGAACCUACAACUGAGAUUACGACAAACUCUCCUACUACUGCAACAACACUUCCAACUACUGUCUCUUCAACAGAAACGACACAAACAACUGAACCUACAACUAAGAUUACAACAAACUCUCCUACUACUGCAACUACACUUCCAACUACUGUCUCUUCAACAGAAAUGACACAAACAACUGAACCUACAACUGAGAUUACGACAAACUCUCCUACUACUGCAACAACACUUCCAACUACUGUCUCUUCAACAGAAACGACACAAACAACUGAAACUACAACUAAGAUUACAACAAACUCUCCUACUACUGCAACAACACUUCCAACUACUGUCUCUUCAACAGAAACGACACAAACAACUGAACCUACAACUAAGAUUACAACAAACUCUCCUACUACUGCAACUACACUUCCAACUACUGUCUCUUCAACAGAAACGACACAAACAACUGAACCUACAACUGAGAUUACGACAAACUCACCUACUACUGCAACAACACUUCCAACUACUGCAACAGAAACGACACAAACAACUGAACCUCCAACUGUGGUUCCAACAACCCCCAAAACAACCCAGUCAGUUCUUUUUAGUUUUUCCAGCGAUGAAACGUUUGUGGAUGAUUUGUUAAAUACAGCUUCAGAUGCAUAUAAAACCAGAGAAACCAGAGUCUUACGUGUGUUGGAACCAUUAUUUAAAAACAAAUUCUCCUCCUUCAAUAGUCUGGCAGUUAUUAAGUUCCGGUAAGUAUGUCCUCCCUUUAAAUAGAAAUACAUUUCAUUUUUGGAAGACAAAAGUCUCUGGUUUACAGCACAAUCUAGAUGGCUAUUAAAACAUGUUUCUUCUUUAUUGCACAUAUAAUAAAUAAUAAUUUUAGAUUUCCAAACAUUCCUAUGAUCACAUAGACAGAGGUAACUGAGGCUAAAUCCUAAAUCUAGGUAUGCAACUAUUUUUUUUUGAUAAUCUGUCGAUAAAUUAAUGUAAUCAGAUGACACACACACACACACACACACACACACACACACACACAUAUAUAUAUAUAUAUAUAUAUAUAUAUAUAUAUAUAUAUAUAUAUAUAUAUAUAUAUAUAUAUAUAUAAUGGUGACCUCCGAACAAUGUGUAAUAUAAAAUCCUGGAAAACAAAUAGUCAAUAUUACUGUGGAGGUUAUGCUGAAUAUUGUAAGCAAAAAAGGGUUAAAACAUUUUUAAAUAAAAGGGAGGUUGGGGAGUAAAAAUUGUGCUCCGGAGCCCUUCUCCCUCAUCCGGACCUUGGAAAUACUUUCUAGUAUUUUCAGAUAAUGCUUCAACUAUAGAAUAUAUGUUAUGCAAUGGGGAAAACAUGCGUCAGAGGCAUUAAACGGCAAACGUAUCUGUCAAAGCAUGACAGGGAAAGACAUGUUAAAUGCUUACGCUUACACAAAUAUAUACAUUUAUAAAUAUAAAGCAUUCUCAUUUUUCAGACAACUUGGAUCAUAUCACUUUCACACUGCAGCUCACUCUGUGCAUAACGCUUUUUUUUCAAAUGCAUUUUGUACAUAGAAACAGGAUAUUCACUACUGUAAAGUAUUGUGAUUAGAUGAUGGUUUCCGAGCACAUCCGCAACUUAUAAUUUACAUUACAUUUAAUCACUUAGCAGACGCUUUUAUCCAAAGUGACUUACAAAUGAGAACAGUAGAAGCAGUCAAGUCAACAAGAGAACAACAACAGUAUACAAGUGCCAUUACAAGUCUCAGUUAGUCUAGUACAGAACACGUAUCCAUAUUUUUUUGUUCUUUUUUUAAGAAUAGAAAAAAAAGGAAAGGUAAGUGCUAGUAUUAGUUGGUCAAGUGCUGGUGAAAAAGAUAAGUCUUUAGAUGUAUCUUGAAAAUCUGUUCGAAUUGAGAUUGGGAGGACAUUCCACCAGCCGUGAACAGUCCAGGAAAAGAUCAGUGAGAGAUUUUGAACC
ensembl:lncRNA